rnacentral:tRNA from 1 species
GGCGACGUAGCCAAGUGGUAAGGCAGGGGUCUGCAAAACCCUUAUUCGCCGGUUCGAUUCCGGCCGUCGCCUCCU